AUUGAACGCUGGCGGCAUGCUUUACACAUGCAAGUCGAACGGUAACAGGUUAAGCUGACGAGUGGCGAACGGGUGAGUAAUGCAUCGGAACGUGCCCGAUCGUGGGGGAUAACGCAGCGAAAGCUGCGCUAAUACCGCAUACGAUCUGAGGAUGAAAGCGGGGGACCGUAAGGCCUCGCGCGAUCGGAGCGGCCGAUGUCAGAUUAGGUAGUUGGUGGGGUAAAGGCUCACCAAGCCAACGAUCUGUAGCUGGUCUGAGAGGACGACCAGCCACACUGGGACUGAGACACGGCCCAGACUCCUACGGGAGGCAGCAGUGGGGAAUUUUGGACAAUGGGCGAAAGCCUGAUCCAGCAAUGCCGCGUGCAGGAAGAAGGCCUUCGGGCUGUAAACUGCUUUUGUACGGAGCGAAAAGGCCCUCUCUACUACAGGGGGUUUAUGACGGUACCGUAAGAAUAAGCACCGGCUAACUACGUGCCAGCAGCCGCGGUAA
rnacentral:rRNA from 1 species